AUCAACUUUCGAUGGUAGGAUAGAGGCCUACCAUGGUGGUAACGGGUAACGGGGUGUUAGGGCACGACACCGGAGAGGGAGCCUGAGAAACGGCUACCACAUCCAAGGAUGGCAGCAGGCGCGCAAAUUACCCAAUCCCGACACGGGGAGGUAGUGACAAUAAAUAACAAUACGGGGUUCUUUCGGAUUUCGUAAUUGGAAUGAGUACAAUUUAAAUCUCUUAACGAGGAACAAUUGGAGGGCAAGUCUGGUGCCAGCAGCCGCGGUAAUUCCAGCUCCAAUAGCGUAUAUUAAAGUUGCUGCAGUUAAAAAGCUCGUAGUUGAAUUUCGGGACCAAUAUGUCGGUCGUGCCUCGGUACGUACUGGCAUCGUUGGUUUCUCCUUUCUGAAGAACCAUGAUGUCAUUUAUUUGGUGUCGUGGGGAAUCAGGACUGUUACUUUGAAAAAAUUAGAGUGUUUAAAGCAGGCUCACGCUUGAAUACAUUAGCAUGGAAUAAUGAAAUAGGACGUUUGAUUCUAAUUUGUUGGUUUCUAGGAUCGACGUAAUGAUUAAUAGGGAUAGUUGGGGGCAUUAGUAUUCAAUUGUCAGAGGUGAAAUUCUUGGAUUUAUUGAAGACUAACUACUGCGAAAGCAUUUGCCAAGGAUGUUUUCAUUAAUCAAGAACGAAAGUUAGGGGAUCGAAGACGAUCAGAUACCGUCGUAGUCUUAACCAUAAACUAUGCCGACUAGGGAUCGGAUGAUGUUAAUUUUUUAAUGACUCAUUCGGCGCCUUACGGGAAACCAAAGUGUUUGGGUUC
rnacentral:rRNA from 1 species